CGGGGGAGGCCGGAUCCUGGGCUGUGUCCCGGCGCCCUGUGCUCCGAAGCCUGUGCUGGUGGAUUCGCGCUCCCGCCCCGCAGCCCCCU
rnacentral:pre_miRNA from 1 species